rnacentral:rRNA from 1 species
GAGGAAGUAAAAGUCGUAACAAGGUCUCCGUUGGUGAACCAGCGGAGGGAUCAUUACCGAGUUUAACACAACUCCAACCCUACGUGAAUAUACCACAGUUGCCUCGGCGAGGCGACAGGCCUCGCCAAAGGGCCGCUAAACUCUGAUUUAUCCACUGUAUCUCUGAAUACUUAACUAAAUACGUUAAAACUUUCAACAACGGAUCUCUUGGUUCUGGCAUCGAUGAAGAACGCAGCGAAAUGCGAUAAGUAAUGUGAAUUGCAGAAUUCAGUGAAUCAUCGAAUCUUUGAACGCACAUUGCGCCCAUUAGUAUUCUAGUGGGCAUGCCUAUUCGAGCGUCAUUUCAACCCUUACGCCCCGCGGCGUAGCGUUGGGAAUCUACCCUCAGGGGUAGUUCCCGAAAUCUAUUGGCGGAGUUAGCGCAUACUCUAGGCGUAGUAAUCACCAUUCUCGCUUCUGCAGUAGUGCUGACGGCUAGCCGUUAAACCCCCUAUUAUUUCUAGUGGUUGACCUCGGAUUAGGUAGGAAUACCCGCUGAACUUAAGCAUAUCA